rnacentral:SRP_RNA from 1 species
GCCAGGUGUGGUGGCACGUGCCUGUAGUCCCAGCUACUCAGGAGGCUGAGGCAGGAGAAUUGCUUGAACCUGGGAGGCGGAGGUUGCAGUGAGCCAAGAUCGUGACACUGCACUCCAGCCUGGGUGACAAACAAACAAAAAAACACUAGUAAAAUUCUAAAUUCAAAGAUUAUAAAAAUAGGUACCAUUCUUUGUUUGUUUUUUGAGACGGAGUCUCGCUCUGUCACCCAGGCUGGAGUGCAGUGACACGAUCUCGGCUCACUGCAACUUCUGCCUCCCAGGUUCAAACGAUUCUCCUGCCUCAG